rnacentral:rRNA from 1 species
UACGUAGGGACCAAGCGUUGUUCGGAUUUACUGGGCGUAAAGGGCGCGUAGGCGGCGUGGUAAGUCACUUGUGAAAUCUCUGGGCUUAACCCAGAACGGUCAGCUGAUACUGCGGGGCUAGAGUGCAGAAGGGGCAACUGGAAUUCUCGGUGUAGCGGUGAAAUGCGUAGAUAUCGAGAGGAACACCUGCGGCGAAGGCGGGUUGCUGGGCUGACACUGACGCUGACAGCGCGAAAGCUAGGGGAGCGAACGGG